ensembl:lncRNA
GGUAAGGAACCGAAAUUGAUUCCAAUUGUGCCUGCUGCUGCUGGAGACAGACCGCCAACAGGGGCGAGGCCAGCUCUCCCCAGGGCUCCGCCCCACUCCCUUUCUUCUCCCUCCUCCUUUUUAGCCCCACCCUUCUCUGUCUCUUCCUAGUUUGCUUUCUCCUUCUGCGGCUUCAGGUCUCUUUUAAGGAACUCCACCCUAGGUGGAGUCCUUACCAUAGUCACACCUCUUGUCUGGCCUAGCCGGGGCGGAGAAAGACGAAAUCACUCCAUCUACUCAGGUUGCCUAGAGAGCACUUCACGUUCUGACCUGUGUGGGUCUUGAGGUCCGCAGUGGGACAGCCAGGAGCCUCUAAGAAACCCCGCCCCAGAGGACCUGCAAAGAGUUGCUGCUGUUUUUCCUUGAAGCUCUUGUCCCGGGCUGGUGUUCUCCUAAGUGUAUCGACCAAUCAUCGGCAUUUUCUCCUCCCUUCUUUCCUUUUAGGAAAGAGCUGGGGUGUGGGGCUGCCACCGCAGCGUUGAAGGGAUCCUCUUGUGAUAUCUCGUCCUGGGUUCCUCAACAGUGUUUUCAGGUUUUGGGCUGUUUUCUUAGCCCCUACCUCUGUCCUUCUUUUCAAGGGUGUGCGGAGUUCAGAGACUGGGUGGAGAGUGGCCUUGGCCGGAACUGAAUUGGUAAAGCUGGAAGAAAAAGGGGAAGUGGGGGACCGUGAAAGAGAAAGUAGGAGAAUGUAGCCAAGGGGCGAGUGUGAGUGGAACAGCUGUUUUGCGAUCAGCUCAGGAGUAUGAGCCUACAGGAGGACAGCAUGAGCUUUAGACGCUUCAGGAGUCCUCAGCUAGAGACAAGAGCGGAGUCGCCUCAGCUCUCGUUUCUCACAGAGACAGCAUUACCCCUGCACUACAUGGCAAUACCAGCG